rnacentral:rRNA from 1 species
UACGGAGGGUGCAAGCGUUAUCCGGAUUCACUGGGUUUAAAGGGUGCGUAGGAGGGCAGGUAAGUCAGUGGUGAAAUCUCCAAGCUUAACUUGGAAACUGCCGUUGAUACUAUCUGUCUUGAAUACCGUGGAGGUGAGCGGAAUAUGUCAUGUAGCGGUGAUAUGCUUAGAUAUGACAUAGAACACCAAUUGCGAAGGCAGCUCGCUACACGAAUAUUGACUCUGAGGCACGAAAGCGUGGGGAUCAAACAGG